rnacentral:rRNA from 1 species
UACGUAGGGGGCUAGCGUUGUCCGGAUUUAUUGGGCGUAAAGAGCGCGUAGGCGGCCGAGUAAGUCCGACGUGAAAUCUGGAGGCUCAACCUCCAGCGGUCGUUGGAAACUACUCGGCUAGAGUCCGGAAGAGGAGAGUGGAAUUCCUGGUGUAGCGGUGAAAUGCGCAGAUAUCGGGAGGAACACCAGUGGCGAAGGCGACUACCUGGCCUGUUCUUGACCCUGAGGCGCGAAAGCUAGGGGAGCAAACGGG